rnacentral:rRNA from 1 species
UACGGGGGGGGCAAGCGUUGUUCGGAAUUACUGGGCGUAAAGGGCUCGUAGGCGGCCAACUAAGUCGGACGUGAAAUCCCCAGGCUUAACUUGGGAACUGCGUCCGAUACUGGAUGGCUUGAGAUUGGGAGAGGGAUGCGGAAUUCCAGGUGUAGCGGUGAAAUGCGUAGAUAUCUGGAGGAACACCGGUGGCGAAGGCGGCAUCCUGGACCAACACUGACGCUGAGGAGCGAAAGCCAGGGGAGCAAACGGG